GGACGAACGCUGGCGGCGUGCUUAACACAUGCAAGUCGAACGCUGAAGCACCAGCUUGCUGGUGUGGAUGAGUGGCGAACGGGUGAGUAAUACGUGAGUAACCUGCCCUUGACUCUGGGAUAAGCCCGGGAAACUGGGUCUAAUACUGGAUGCUACAUGUCACCGCAUGGUGGUGUGUGGAAAGGGUUUACUGGUCUUGGAUGGGCUCACGGCCUAUCAGCUUGUUGGUGAGGUAAUGGCUCACCAAGGCGACGACGGGUAGCCGGCCUGAGAGGGUGACCGGCCACACUGGGACUGAGACACGGCCCAGACUCCUACGGGAGGCAGCAGUGGGGAAUAUUGCACAAUGGGCGAAAGCCUGAUGCAGCGACGCCGCGUGAGGGAUGACGGCCUUCGGGUUGUAAACCUCUUUCAGCAGGGAAGAAGCCACAAGUGACGGUACCUGCAGAAGAAGCGCCGGCUAACUACGUGCCAGCAGCCGCGGUAAUACGUAGGGCGCAAGCGUUGUCCGGAAUUAUUGGGCGUAAAGAGCUCGUAGGCGGUUUGUCGCGUCUGCUGUGAAAGCCCGGGGCUUAACCCCGGGUGUGCAGUGGGUACGGGCAGACUAGAGUGCAGUAGGGGAGACUGGAAUUCCUGGUGUAGCGGUGGAAUGCGCAGAUAUCAGGAGGAACACCGAUGGCGAAGGCAGGUCUCUGGGCUGUUACUGACGCUGAGGAGCGAAAGCAUGGGGAGCGAACAGGAUUAGAUACCCUGGUAGUCCAUGCCGUAAACGUUGGGCACUAGGUGUGGGGGACAUUCCACGUUUUCCGCGCCGUAGCUAACGCAUUAAGUGCCCCGCCUGGGGAGUACGGCCGCAAGGCUAAAACUCAAAGGAAUUGACGGGGGCCCGCACAAGCGGCGGAGCAUGCGGAUUAAUUCGAUGCAACGCGAAGAACCUUACCAAGGCUUGACAUAUACCGGAUCGUUCCAGAGAUGGUUCUUCCCCUUUGGGGUCGGUAUACAGGUGGUGCAUGGUUGUCGUCAGCUCGUGUCGUGAGAUGUUGGGUUAAGUCCCGCAACGAGCGCAACCCUCGUUCCAUGUUGCCAGCACGUGAUGGUGGGGACUCAUGGGAGACUGCCGGGGUCAACUCGGAGGAAGGUGGGGAUGACGUCAAAUCAUCAUGCCCCUUAUGUCUUGGGCUUCACGCAUGCUACAAUGGCC
rnacentral:rRNA from 1 species